rnacentral:rRNA from 1 species
UACAGAGGGUGCGAGCGUUAAUCGGAAUUACUGGGCGUAAAGCGUGCGUAGACGGUUAUCUAAGUCGGAUGUGAAAGCCCCGGGCUCAACCUGGGAAUUGCAUUCGAGACUGAAUAGCUAGGGUGCGGUAGAGGGAAGCGGAAUUUCCGGUGUAGCGGUGAAAUGCGUAGAUAUCUGGAGGAACACCGGUGGCGAAGGCGGCAUCCUGGACCAACACUGACACUGAGGAGCGAAAGCCAGGGGAGCAAACGGG